GUGCGUUGUAAACGUAGCGGCCCCUUUAAGAAAAUUGGACCGAGCUACUGUGAAAAUGAACAUCAACUACUACUAUUAAGAGGAAAUGAUACAGUCUGUUUGACCGAUUCCCCCUCUUUCGCACAACGGUCUAUUCUGGAUCUAAGGCUCAUGAUGCAGUGGGAUUCAAUAAGCUGGUAGGUGCUGCCCAACGCGAGGUUUUCAGCUCCAGUCUACAACGAAUGAGCACGGAAAUAUACCGCAGCAUCCUCAUUCAUUUGAAGUGUUUACGCUCAGAUCAUAAAGCAUAUUCCUUGGUCAGCAUAAAUGCGACAUGCCAUUACCCUCAAACCAUGAAUGAUUGACUCCCGAGAGCAAGAAACCACUAAA
ensembl:lncRNA